rnacentral:rRNA from 1 species
CCUACGGGAGGCAGCAGUGAGGAAUAUUGGUCAAUGGACGAGAGUCUGAACCAGCCAAGUAGCGUGAAGGAUGACUGCCCUAUGGGUUGUAAACUUCUUUUAUAUGGGAAUAAAACGUUCCACGUGUGGGAUUUUGUAUGUACCAUAUGAAUAAGGAUCGGCUAACUCCGUGCCAGCAGCCGCGGUAAUACGGAGGAUCCGAGCGUUAUCCGGAUUUAUUGGGGUUAAAGGGAGCGUAGGUGGAUUGUUAAGUCAGUUGUGAAAGUUGGCGGCUCAACCGUAAAAUUGCAGUUGAAACUGGCAGUCUUGAGUACAGUAGAGGUGGGCGGAAUUCGUGGUGUAGCGGUGAAAUGCUUAGAUAUCACGAAGAACUCCGAUUGCGAAGGCAGUUCACUGGACUGCAACUGACACUGAGGCUCGAAAGUGUGGGUAUCAAACAGGAUUAGAUACCCUUGGUC